rnacentral:rRNA from 1 species
AUUGAACGCUGGCGGCAUGCCUUACACAUGCAAGUCGAACGGCAGCACGGGAGCAAUCCUGGUGGCGAGUGGCGAACGGGUGAGUAAUAUAUCGGAACGUGCCCAGUCGUGGGGAUAACGUAGCGAAAGCUACGCUAAUACCGCAUACGAUCUAUGGAUGAAAGCGGGGGAUCGCAAGACCUCGCGCGAUUGGAGCGGCCGAUAUCAGAUUAGGUAGUUGGUGAGGUAAAGGCUCGCCAAGCCGACGAUCUGUAGCUGGUCUGAGAGGACGACCAGCCACACUGGGACUGAGACACGGCCCAGACUCCUACGGGAGGCAGCAGUGGGGGAAUUUUUGGGACAAUGGGCGCAAGCCUGAUCCAGCAAUGCCGCGUGC